rnacentral:rRNA from 1 species
GUAACACGCUGUGACUAGCAUAUCCAAUAAGCGGAGGAAAAGAAACUAACAAGGAUUCCCCUAGUAACGGCGAGUGAAGCGGGAAGAGCUCAAAUUUGAAAUCUUAAAGGGUUUCCCUUUACGAAUUGUAGUUUAAAGAAGUGUUUUCUGUUGAGGUUUUGGUAAAAGUUCUUUGGAAUAGGACAUCAUAGAGGGUGAGAAUCCCGUAUUUGACCUUUACUUUCAACUUUGUGAUACACUUUCAAAGAGUCGGAUUGUUUGGGAAUGCAGUCCAAAAUGGGUGGUAAAUUUCAUCUAAAGCUAAAUAUUGGCGAAGAGACCGAUAGCGAACAAGUACCGUGAGGGAAAGAUGAAAAGAACUUUGAAAAGAGAGUUAAACAGUACGUGAAAUUGUCAAAAGGGAAGCGUUUGACACCAGUGUUGUUUUUCUGAAAAUCAAUUAAAGAACUGUUUAUGCUAAGUUGUUUAGACUUUAUCAGCUAUCUGUUUAGUUUUGAGCUUUUCUUUAAUGCACUUUUCAGUUAACAAGUCAACAUCAAUUUCUUUUGCUGUAAAAAAGCUUGAGGAAGGUGGCUUGAGAUUCGUCUUAAGUGUUUAUAGCCUCUUGCCUAUGCAGUCGGAGAGAUUGAGGUCUGCAGCGUAGAUCCUUCGGGGCUAAAUGCAUUUGUGCUAAGUUAUAGCAUUUUAUAGACAACUUGUUGACUAUGAUUUGUCUUGUAGCUUACUCGCUUAUGUUAUUUUACCUACGCUUAGGAUGUUGAGUCGUAGAGCACGCAG